rnacentral:rRNA from 1 species
UACGGGGGGGGCAAGCGUUGUUCGGAAUUACUGGGCGUAAAGGGCUCGUAGGCGGCCAACUAAGUCGGAUGUGAAAUCCCCAGGCUUAACUUGGGAACUGCAUCCGAUACUGGAUGGCUUGAAUCCGGGAGAGGGAUGCGGAAUUCCAGGUGUAGCGGUGAAAUGCGUAGAUAUCGUAAGGAAGACCAGUGGCGAAGGCGGGUCUCUGGACAGUUCCUGACGCUGAGGCACGAAGGUCAGGGGAGCAAACGGG